CAGAUGUGCCCAGAUGGGAUUAGCUAGUAGGUGGGGUAACGGCUCACCUAGGCGACGAUCCCUAGCUGGUCUGAGAGGAUGACCAGCCACACUGGAACUGAGACACGGUCCAGACUCCUACGGGAGGCAGCAGUGGGGAAUAUUGCACAAUGGGCGCAAGCCUGAUGCAGCCAUGCCGCGUGUAUGAAGAAGGCCUUCGGGUUGUAAAGUACUUUCAGCGAGGAGGAAGGGGUUAAGGUUAAUAACCUUGGCCAUUGACGUUACUCGCAGAAGAAGCACCGGCUAACUCCGUGCCAGCAGCCGCGGUAAUACGGAGGGUGCAAGCGUUAAUCGGAAUUACUGGGCGUAAAGCGCACGCAGGCGGUCUGUCAAGUCGGAUGUGAAAUCCCCGGGCUCAACCUGGGAACUGCAUCCGAAACUGGCAGGCUUGAGUCUCGUAGAGGGGGGUAGAAUUCCAGGUGUAGCGGUGAAAUGCGUAGAGAUCUGGAGGAAUACCGGUGGCGAAGGCGGCCCCCUGGACGAAGACUGACGCUCAGGUGCGAAAGCGUGGGGAGCAAACAGGACUAGAUACCCUGGUAGUCCACGCCGUAAACGAUGUCGACUUGGAGGUUGUGCCCUUGAGGCGUGGCUUCCGGAGCUAACGCGUUAAGUCGACCGCCUGGGGAGUACGGCCGCAAGGUUAAAACUCAAAUGAAUUGACGGGGGCCCGCACAAGCGGUGGAGCAUGUGGUUUAAUUCGAUGCAACGCGAAGAACCUUACCUGGUCUUGACAUCCAGAGAAUCCUGCAGAGAUGCGGGAG
rnacentral:rRNA from 1 species